ensembl:lncRNA
GAUAUUUGAACUUGUUCAAUGACAUUUUGGUGGUAUCCAGUAAACUGUAAAUAUACGCAUCAUGCUUUCCUUACUAUAAGAGGCUACUCAGUGGAAAGGCCUUAAGAAAUAAGAAAUUUAAGAUAAACAUGUCAUUCCAUUGGCUUACCUGUGGAUUGGUGAUGAAGUGGACGCAUUCAGGUCAGACAACACUGUUGCUUCCAAGUCCAUUUACCUAUACUGGUCGAUGGGAUAUGUUGUUGCCACCUUUCGGUAAGACCUAGAGUUCGGACCUGUGAUCACAAGAUGAUAACUUCAGAAAUUGUGGGUCAAAUUAAUGGAGUGUAAUUCACUUCCCAGUGAAUGAGUAUAUUCAUUCUAAUAUUCUCCAAUUAGAAAACAAAAAUCAGGGUAUGGUUAUUAGUGACCAUUGAAGAGUGUGUAUCUAUCUAGUAACUCCUUUCAACAAAUGCUUUCAUCAUCCCAAAAUGUUUGCAAAAAUAGAGUCAAUUUUAGUCUAAUUGUAUACAGGAUGCCAACUCAACUUUCCCUCUUCUAUGAUGAUCCUAGAUUUUUCUAUACUCUUCAUUAUAUCCCAUUUCCACAUGUAGGUAGGUGCUUUAUGGUUUUUUGUUUUGUUUUUAAUUUUUGUUUUGUUGUUUGUUUGGGUUUUUUUGUUCUCCUUAUAUUUUUAUUUGUUCAGGUUAGAGAUUGCAGUUUAAUUUCUGCUUGUCCUUUCCUUAAGAUCUACAAAUUCUGCUCCCGUAUUAGUCCAGAACCUAUCAUCGUCUCCCACCAGGAAAGAGAGCAUUCUUCUUCAAAAGGAGGGAGGGCAAGUCCAGGCAGUUUCCCAGAAAGCAAGAGCGGAUAACUCCCCACAAGGGAGAGGGCAUGAGGACUAGCUUGACGGUUCUACUCCAAGGAAAACCCAGAUAAUCACUGGCAAAUGCAGGACGCUGGGGUAUUCUCAAGUUGUCCCCACUUCCUGUUUAGCAUUCCAGGGUUUGGAAACCUGUAGGAUAUACAGAAACAGUACAGCACUGAACAGAAUCUGAUGGCAGCAUGAAGAAGCCAAGAAA